rnacentral:rRNA from 1 species
GCCCAAGAGAUCGGGAUAACACCUGGAAACAGAUGCUAAUACCGGAUAACAACAGAUGAUGCCUAUCAACUGUUUAAAAGAUGGUUCUGCUAUCACUCUUGGAUGGACCUGCGGUGCAUUAGCUAGUUGGUAGGGUAACGGCCUACCAAGGCGAUGAUGCAUAGCCGAGUUGAGAGACUGAUCGGCCACAUUGGGACUGAGACACGGCCCAAACUCCUACGGGGGAGGCAGCAGCG